UGAGGAAUAUUGGUCAAUGGGUGCAAGCCUGAACCAGCCAUCCCGCGUGAAGGACGACUGCCCUAUGGGUUGUAAGCUUCUUUUGUAUAGGGAUAAACCUACCCUCGUGAGGGUAGCUGAAGGUACUAUACGAAUAAGCACCGGCUAACUCCGUGCCAGCAGCCGCGGUAAUACGGAGGGUGCAAGCGUUAUCCGGAUUUAUUGGGUUUAAAGGGUCCGUAGGCGGACUUAUAAGUCAGUGGUGAAAGCCUGUCGCUUAACGAUAGAACUGCCAUUGAUACUGUAAGUCUUGAGUAUAUUUGAGGUAGCUGGAAUAAGUAGUGUAGCGGUGAAAUGCAUAGAUAUUACUUAGAACACCAAUUGCGAAGGCAGGUUACCAAGAUAUAACUGACGCUGAGGGACGAAAGCGUGGGGAGCGAACA
rnacentral:rRNA from 1 species